GACGAACGCUGGCGGCGUGCUUAACACAUGCAAGUCGAACGGUGAAGGGGCCUGCUUUUGUGGGCCCUGGAUGAGUGGCGAACGGGUGAGUAACACGUGAGUAACCUGCCCCCUUCUUCUGGAUAACCGCAUGAAAGUGUGGCUAAUACGGGAUAUUCUGGGUCUGUCGCAUGAUGGGUCUGGGAAAGAUUGCGCCUUUGGGUGUUUUUGGUGGGGGAUGGGCUCGCGGCCUAUCAGCUUGUUGGUGGGGUGAUGGCCUACCAAGGCGGUGACGGGUAGCCGGCCUGAGGGGGUGGACGGUCACAAUGGGACUGCGACACGGCGGAGACUCCUACGGGAGGCAGCAGUGGGGAAUAUUGCACAAUGGGCGCAAGCCUGAUGCAGCGACGCCGCGUGAGGGAUGGAGGCCUUCGGGUUGUAAACCUCUUUCGCCAGUGAAGCAGGCCUGCUCCUUGUGGGUGGGUUGACGGUAGCUGGAUAAGAAGCGCCGGCUAACUACGUG
rnacentral:rRNA from 1 species